AUACGUAGGGUGCAAGCGUUAAUCGGAAUUACUGGGCGUAAAGCGUGCGCAGGCGGUUUUGUAAGACAGUGGUGAAAUCCCCGGGCUCAACCUGGGAACUGCCAUUGUGACUGCAAGGCUGGAGGGCGGCAGAGGGGGAUGGAAUUCCGCGUGUAGCAGUGAAAUGCGUAGAUAUGCGGAGGAACACCGAUGGCGAAGGCAAUCCCCUGGGCCUGCACUGACGCUCAUGCACGAAAGCGUGGGGAGCAAACAGGAUUAGAUACCCUGGUAGUCCACGCCCUAAACGAUGUCAACUGGUUGUUGGGUCUUCAUUGACUCAGUAACGAAGCUAACGCGUGAAGUUGACCGCCUGGGGAGUACGGCCGCAAGGCUGAAACUUAAAGGAAUUGACGGGG
rnacentral:rRNA from 1 species